rnacentral:rRNA from 1 species
AGGACGAACGCUGGCGGCGUGCUUAACACAUGCAAGUCGAGCGGAAAGGCCUUUCGGGGUACUCGAGCGGCGAACGGGUGAGUAACACGUGAGUAAUCUGCCCAUCGCUUCAGGAUAGCCAUCGGAAACGGUGAUUAAUACUGGAUAUGACAUUCCUUCGCAUGUUGGGGUGUGGAAAGUUUUUCGGCGGUGGAUGUGCUCGCGGCCUAUCAGCUUGUUGGUGGGGUAAUGGCCUACCAAGGUCUUUGACGGGUAGCCGGCCUGAGAGGGUCGACCGGCCACGACUGGGACUGAGACACGGCCCAGACUCCGUACGGGAGCAGCAGGUGGGGAAUAGUAGGACAAGUGGGCGGAAGCCUGAUCCGAGCAACCGCCGCGUAGAGGGAUGGACGGCCGUUCGGGUUCGUAACCGUUCCUUUCAGC